rnacentral:rRNA from 1 species
UACAGAGGGUGCAAGCGUUAAUCGGAAUUACUGGGCGUAAAGCGUGCGCAGGCGGUUAUGUAAGACAGUUGUGAAAUCCCCGGGCUCAACCUGGGAACUGCAUCUGUGACUGCAUAGCCAGAGUACGGUAGAGGGGGAUGGAAUUCCGCGUGUAGCAGUGAAAUGCGUAGAUAUGCGGAGGAACACCGAUGGCGAAGGCAAUCCCCUGGACCUGUACUGACGCUCAUGCACGAAAGCGUGGGGAGCAAACAGG